UACGUAGGGGCGUAGCGUUGUCCGGAAUCAUUGGGCGUAAAGCGCGUGUAGGCGGUCCGGUAAGUCUGCUGUGAAAGUCGGGGGCUCAACCCUCGAAUGCCGGUGGAUACUGUCGGGCUAGAGUGCGGAAGAGGCGAGUGGAAUUCCUGGUGUAGCGGUGAAAUGCGCAGAUAUCAGGAGGAACACCUAUUGCGAAGGCAGCCCUGCAGUGGUACGA
rnacentral:rRNA from 1 species